rnacentral:rRNA from 1 species
ACACGGUGGAUGCCCUGGCAGUCAGAGGCGAUGAAGGGCGUACUAAUCUGCGAUAAGCGCCGGUAAGGUGAUAUGAACCGUUAUAACCGGCGAUACCCGAAUGGGGAAACCCAGUGUGACUCGUCACACUAUCAUUAACUGAAUCCAUAGGUUAAUGAGGCGAACCGGGGGAACUGAAACAUCUAAGUACCCCGAGGAAAAGAAAUCAACCGAGAUUCCCCCAGUAGCGGCGAGCGAACGGGGAGGAGCCCAGAGCCUGAAUCAGCAUGUGUGUUAGUGGAAGCGUCUGGAAAGGCGCGCGAUACAGGGUGACAGCCCCGUACACAAAAGCGCAUGUGCUGUGAGCUCGAUGAGUAGGGCGGGACACGUGGUAUCCUGUCUGAAUAUGGGGGGACCAUCCUCCAAGGCUAAAUACUCCUGACUGACCGAUAGUGAACCAGUACCGUGAGGGAAAGGCGAAAAGAACCCCGGCGAGGGGAGUGAAAAAGAACCUGAAACCGUGUACGUACAAGCAGUGGGAGCACCCUUUGGGUGUGACUGCGUACCUUUUGUAUAAUGGGUCAGCGACUUAUAUUCUGUAGCAAGGUUAACCGAAUAGGGGAGCCGGAGGGAAACCGAGUCUUAAUUGGGCGUUAAGUUGCAGGGUAUAGACCCGAAACCCGGUGAUCUAGCCAUGGGCAGGUUGAAGGUUGGGUAACACUAACUGGAGGACCGAACCGACUAAUGUUGAAAAAUUAGCGGAUGACCUGUGGCUGGGGGUGAAAGGCCAAUCAAACCGGGAGAUAGCUGGUUCUCCCCGAAAGCUAUUUAGGUAGCGCCUCGUGAAUUCAUCUCCGGGGGUAGAGCACUGUUUCGGCUAGGGGGCCAUCCCGGCUUACCAACCCGAUGCAAACUGCGAAUACCGGAGAAUGUUAUCACGGGAGACACACGGCGGGUGCUAACGUCCGUCGUGAAGAGGGAAACAACCCAGACCGCCAGCUAAGGUCCCAAAGUCAUGGUUAAGUGGGAAACGAUGUGGGAAGGCCCAGACAGCCAGGAUGUUGGCUUAGAAGCAGCCAUCAUUUAAAGAAAGCGUAAUAGCUCACUGGUCGAGUCGGCCUGCGCGGAAGAUGUAACGGGGCUAAACCAUGCACCGAAGCUGCGGCAGCGACACUGUGUGUUGUUGGGUAGGGGAGCGUUCUGUAAGCCUGUGAAGGUGUGUCGUGAGGC